GAUUGAACGCUGGCGGCAUGCCUUACACAUGCAAGUCGAACGGUAACAGGUCUUCGGACGCUGACGAGUGGCGAACGGGUGAGUAAUACAUCGGAACGUGCCCAGUCGUGGGGGAUAACUACUCGAAAGAGUAGCUAAUACCGCAUACGAUCUGAGGAUGAAAGCGGGGGACCUUCGGGCCUCGCGCGAUUGGAGCGGCCGAUGGCAGAUUAGGUAGUUGGUGGGAUAAAAGCUUACCAAGCCGACGAUCUGUAGCUGGUCUGAGAGGACGACCAGCCACACUGGGACUGAGACACGGCCCAGACUCCUACGGGAGGCAGCAGUGGGGAAUUUUGGACAAUGGGCGAAAGCCUGAUCCAGCAAUGCCGCGUGCAGGAUGAAGGCCUUCGGGUUGUAAACUGCUUUUGUACGGAACGAAAAAGCUUCUCCUAAUACGAGAGGCCCAUGACGGUACCGU
rnacentral:rRNA from 1 species